UGAUGGCGGAGGUAGAGCGGCUUGCCAUGAGAGCUAUUCGAGAAGGAAGGUGUAAGAUGAGGAGGCAUUGGAAACAACUCGGGGGAUUUGGAAAUAAAGAUUCACCAAAAAGGAAGCCGUACAAGGGAGUAAGCCAAGAUGAUUGAGAUUUUCUUUGUAAUUAUUUUGGCACAAAAAAACAAAUGGAAAUAUCUGAAAAGAAUACUAAUAAUCGGUUUAAUAGGCCACUUGAAGGUGCACAUGGAUCGAAAACUUUGGUUCAACAUUAUCACACAGCUGCUGAUCCUGUGACGGGAGAGCUU